rnacentral:Y_RNA from 3 species
AGUUGGUCGGAGGGUUGUGGGUUAUUGUUAAACUGAUUAACAUUAUCUCCCCCUACAGCCAUGCUUGAUUAGCUUUGU